AUCUCCAAAAGUGGUCACAUUGAUUAUUAUGGUUGUAGCCUAGGAAUUUGGUGGUGGUGGGAGAAUGAAGGAACAUGUUUAUUACACCCAUGACCUUCUUUAUUACUUUCCCCCUUCUUUACUCCAGCCUCAAAGAUCUGGCUGUUCACUGAGUGUACCAGGAACUCUUCUGUCUUGCUUUGCUCUAGAUUUUUCCCAACCUGGAGAAAACUUCACCUCAAUGGACAUUUAACUCACCCUGUUACUUCCUUGAUUCAGCAACCCAGCUAUAUCCAUCUAGUGGCUCAACUAUCUCCAGGAACAGCUGCAACUGUCGCUGAGAAAUGGAAAGGGAAAGUGGGAGAUCUCAAGCUUCCUCUUCUAUGAAUUAGCCAACAAGUGACUCAUCCUACUCACCGUUUGUUAGUCAGAAAUGGUCCCAUGAUCCUGGCUGAUUGCAAAAGGGGGAGACCACUCACAGGCCCUCCCCUUUUAUAAGGAAAGAACCCUGAAAAUCCAUCCAAUCAUUUCAUGAAGUUCAGACUCCAUCAGAUCCAGACAUGGCUCCUCUUUACCUUGAAACCUAUGAACCAAAA